rnacentral:lncRNA from 1 species
UGGGAAUUUAUUUUGUUGAUGGGUGUCUUGGUUUUUUCUCCAUCUUGUUCUUGUGGUGUGUGUGAAUCUGAAUCUUGUGGUGUGUUGGAGUGAUGGAACUGGGGUUAAAGUUUGGAUUUUGAAGAUGUUAUUCUUAAACCCAUGUCUAUUUUUUUCUUUUUCAGAUGGUUAUGAUUGUGCUUUUAGAGGGUAGAGAAACAAGAA